rnacentral:tRNA from 5 species
GUCUCCGUAGUUUAAUGGAUAAAACGGGGCCCUCCUAAGGCUUUGAUGUAGGUUCGAUUCCUACCGGGGACGCCA